CUCCGUCUCUCUUUCAGUUAGGGGGUCCUUGGCUUGAAAAACGUUGAAGACCCCUGCUUUAGCCUAAACCUGCAAUACCAUAUUUAUUUUGGCCACUUCGAGGCAGCGGAAACAAACUGGGAACACACUGACAAAUCAUCACCUUUUAAGCCCACUUCAGGUUAGUAUGGCGAACUUGUUAAUGAACAGCUUAAUUUGCUACACAUCCAGAAGUUACGGAGCAACAUUAGCAUUCAUUUGGAACCGUGUUUCUGGCCACCUGAUGAAUCUGACCUGUGUGGUGCUUCAGAAAUAAUAACAGCAUUGAGAACAGCAACAGCGGUGACAAGAGCUAUUACAACGCCAUGCAACACAACAACAGAGGACAGACAGCACUCAGCACCAGAUGGGCGCUUCCUAUGCCAGGCAGGAAAUGGCACUGAGCUCCCUCGCCAUCAUAUUUCAUUUUAGCAGAGAACAGAGAUGAUCAUCACUUCAUCCUCGACACAUCCAUCCCCCAACGGGAAGACCGCACAGAGCCUUAGUACAGGAGGACACAAUGAGGUGGCAGCUCCGCUUGGCUGGCCAGGCAUAGCCGGAACAGGAAGAGAGAUUACCUCCCACAGGGUCUCUGUAGGCACAAUGAACGCAUUCGCUGGUUGUGUUGAUGGAAAAGCACAAUCAUCUCCUGUGAUCUGAUUCUCAUUGCCUUGCCAAGCUGUC